CACCUCAGGGACAGACAACCAAAGCCAAAAGGUCAGGACCCUGGAGAGGCCCCCCCCCUCACUGCCCCAUUGAUUCCAAGGUCCUCACUGUGCAGCAAAGCUGACCAAGCCAAAAGUCUCCUUUGCUGACAUUUAAAGGCCUGGAGGUUUUCACUCUCAGCUGAGACCUUGUGCUAACCCAGGAUGCAGAGGCUAAGGAAUGGAAUCUUGGAAUCCUGGGUUGAAAGAGGCUGUGAGAUUCCAACCUCAGAUCUGACUGUAUCGUGUGAAUAACACCUUAGUGAUUAUCUUCUGGGUCCAGUGUGUAUUUGAUUUUAGAAAUCACUGCUCCCGACUCUGCCAUUUUGUAGGUAAGAAAGCUGAGCUCCAGGGAAAUGAAAUGAAGUGUGUAAAGUCACCUCUGAGAUCAUGCUUCAAAUUCUUCAGGAAAAGCAGUUGUACAAAAGAAAGUCUACAAUGGAAGAGCUACUUAGAAACCAACAAAUGGCCCACUUUCCGAGUCACUGUGCCUGUCAUAGCUCGAUGUACAGGGAUGGACUCCUCAUUAGUUAGGUGACACGUGAAUUCAAAUGAAGCCAGAUUAGAACUGUAGUGCAACCAUCAUAGAAGGGAAAAUUAGUGCAAUCAACUUACUGUAAAGACCACUGUUUACAACAGCUCACACCGAACACUCAUCUUUGAAUUGGGCUUCUGUCAGGUGGCAUUGACUUGGACUUCUGCUUGUACCAGGCACUACUGAAGCAGUAACUUUUGUCCCUGUAAGUGAAAUUUUAUAACCUCCUGUUCCCAUAACAUUCUGUUAUGUCUGAGCAGGGCCACCAAGAUAAGAAACUGCCACAGCUUGACACACUGCCUUUGUUUUCUUUCUGCCCACGCACAAGUUCCACGCCCAAAACCAACCUCUUUGACCAAGGGUAUAAAAGCUGGAACCUGCUUUCGUCCUUUGCUCAGCCAUUUUGGAUUUAUCAGCUGAGCCGGUGUACGUCUGAAAAUAAAGUCCUCCUGUUUUUC